rnacentral:rRNA from 1 species
AGCAGCCGCGGUAAUUCCAGCUCCAAUAGCGUAUAUUAAAGUUGUUGCAGUUAAAAAGCUCGUAGUUGAAUUUCGGGGUUAGUAGGUUGGUCAUGCCUCUGGUAUGUACUGGUCUCACUGAUUCCUCCUUCCUGAUGAGCCGUAAUGCCAUUAAUUUGGUGUUGCGGGGAAUUUGGAGUGUUACUUUGAAAAAUUUAGAGUGUUUAAAGCAGGCUCGCGCUUGAAUACAUUAGCAUGGAAUAAUGAAAUAGGACGUUUGAUUCUAUUUUGUUGGUUUCUAGGAUCGACGUAAUGAUUAAUAGGGAUAGUUGGGGGCAUUAGUAUUCAAUUGUCAGAGGUGAAAUUCUUGGAUUUAUUGAAGACUAACUACUGCGAAAGCAUUUGCCAAGGAUGUUUUCAUUAAUCAAGAACGAAAGUUAGGGGAUCGAAGACGAUUAGAUACCGUCGUAGUCUUAACCAUAAACUAUGCCGACUAGGGAUCGGAUGAUGUUAAUUUUUUAAUGACUCAUUCGGCGCCUUA